rnacentral:siRNA from 1 species
UUGACAAUGCAGUUUAAAUGGG